CCGAGAUUUGAGGUUUCUCAUUCUCCACCCUCUGUGUACCAGCCUGACUGGCGUUUAACUGUUACUUCGGCGAGGUCUUGUUGCUGGCGUGAGCCGGUGGCAGCCCCGCCAGGUUUAUACACUGUAUUUUUUGUGGUCAGAUCUUUUUUGCAAUCUAA
rnacentral:misc_RNA from 1 species